UGAAAAUCAUUAUACCACUUGCACGUGGUGUGGUGUUGCACACGCGCCUGCCACAUCAGCGCCACGUCAGCAUGAUACGAAAAAAAUAAUAAAUUUAUGAUUUUCAUAAAUUUUUCUUUUUUCUUUUUAAUUUAAUUUUUCUUUCUUUCUUCUUCAAAAUCCAAAACCUCUACUGUUAAGAGUUCAAUUUUUUUUUUCUUCAAUAUCCAAAACCUCCAUUGUUGUCCGAAACCUCCAUUGUUAUGAGCUCGAAUUUCUUUUUCUUCAAUGUCUAAUUAUAAUUUUCCUCACUGAAGGUAGUGAAAUUAUACAAUUUCAAUUGAGCUCAUAAUUUUUUUCUUUUUAAUUUAAAUUCUUUUUCUUUCUUCUUCAAUAUCCAAAACCUCCAUUGUUAUCCAAAAUCUCCAUUGUUAUAAGUUCAAUUUUUUUUCUUCAAUAUCCAAAACCUCCAUUGUUAUGAACUCAAAUUUCUUUUUCUUCAAUGUCCAAUUAUAAUUUCACUACCUUCAGUGCCACACAAUACAAAACCUCACUACCUCAAUAGUACUAUAAUUUCCCCCAAAACAAAAAUCGUCCAAACACCAACAACAACCUCAAUCCUCAAACAACAACAACAAUGGACAGUGUUGAUCAAUUUUACAAGUCUCAUCAAAAAAUUUUUUUUGAUAGACUUGAAAGUACAUCAACAAGAUGAACUGAAUUUAGAAAACAAUAUUUCAAUUGCGUCCGGUGAACCUUCUUCUCACUUCAAC
rnacentral:lncRNA from 1 species